rnacentral:rRNA from 1 species
AGCGAACGCUGGCGGCAGGCCUAACACAUGCAAGUCGAACGAACCUUUCGGGGUUAGUGGCGGACGGGUGAGUAACACGUGGGAACGUGCCUUUAGGUUCGGUAUAACUCAGGGAAACUUGUGCUAAUACCGAAUGUGCCCUUCGGGGGAAAGAUUAAUCGCCUUUAGAGCGGCCCGCGUCUGAUUAGCUAGUUGGUUGAGGUAAUGGCGCACCAAGGCGACGAUCAGUAGCUGGUCUGAGAGGAUGAUCAGCCACAUUGGGACUGAGACACGGCCCAAACUCCUACGGGAGGCAGCAGUGGGGAAUCUUGCGCAAUGGGCGAAAGCCUGACGCAGCCAUGCCGCGUGAAUGAUGAAGGUCUUAGGAUUGUAAAAUUCUUUCACCGGGGACGAUAAUGACGGUACCCGGAGAAGAAGCCCCGGCUAACUUCGUG